GACGGAGGAUGCAAGCGUUAUCCGGAAUGAUUGGGCGUAAAGCGUCCGCAGGUGGCAGUUCAAGUCUGCUGUCAAAGACCGGGGCUUAACUUCGGAAAGGCAGUGGAAACUGAACAGCUAGAGUAUGGUAGGGGCAGAGGGAAUUCCUGGUGUAGCGGUGAAAUGCGUAGAGAUCAGGAAGAACAUCGGUGGCGAAGGCGGUUAGCUGGGCAGUUGCUGACACUGAGGCGCGACAGCGUGGGGAGCAAACAGG
rnacentral:rRNA from 1 species